rnacentral:pre_miRNA from 1 species
CACAAAUCAACUUUUCAGUUUUUAGAUACAAUGUUUAACUCUUUGUCUUAUUCAAAAAAAAAUUUUGAUUAAUAAUUUUAUUUUUAUUAGAUGAUAAAACAUGAAUAGUACUUUAUGUGUGACUAAUUUUUUUAAAUUUCUUGAAUUUUUUUCAAAUAAGACGGAUGGUCAAACGUUCGACACAAAAACC